rnacentral:rRNA from 1 species
UUAAAUUGAAGAGUUUGAUCAUGGCUCAGAUUGAACGCUGGCGGCAGGCCUAACACAUGCAAGUCGAACGGUAACAGGAAGCAGCUUGCUGCUUUGCUGACGAGUGGCGGACGGGUGAGUAAUGUCUGGGAAACUGCCCGAUGGAGGGGGAUAACUACUGGAAACGGUAGCUAAUACCGCAUAACGUCGCAAGACCAAAGAGGGGGACCUUCGGGCCUCUUGCCAUCGGAUGUGCCCAGAUGGGAUUAGCUAGUAGGUGGGGUAAAGGCUCACCUAGGCGACGAUCCCUAGCUGGUCUGAGAGGAUGACCAGCCACACUGGAACUGAGACACGGUCCAGACUCCUACGGGAGG